CAAUAGCGUAUAUUUAAGUUGCUGCAGUUAAAAAGCUCGUAGUUGGAUUUCGGGUGGGAAUGGCCGGUCCGCCGUUUAGGUGUGCACUUGCUACGCCCACCUUGCUGCCGGGGACGUGCGCUUGAGUUCACGCUCGGGACACGGAGUCGGCGAGGUUACUUUGAGUAAAUUAGAGUGUUCAAAGCAGGCCUACGCUCUGAAUACAUUAGCAUGGAAUAACACGAUAGGACUCUGGCCUAUCUUGUUGGUCUGUAGGACCGGAGUAAUGAUUAAGAGGGACAGUCGGGGGCAUUCGUAUUUCAUUGUCAGAGGUGAAAUUCUUGGAUUUAUGAAAGACGAACUACUGCGAAAGCAUUUGCCAAGGAUGUUUUCAUUAA
rnacentral:rRNA from 1 species